UGAGGAAUAUUGGUCAAUGGGCGCAAGCCUGAACCAGCCAUGCCGCGUGCAGGAAGACGGUCCUAUGGAUUGUAAACUGCUUUUAUUCGGGAAUAAACCUCCUUACGUGUAGGGAGCUGAAGGUACCGAAUGAAUAAGCACCGGCUAACUCCGUGCCAGCCGCCGCGGUAAUACGGAGGGUGCAAGCGUUAUCCGGAAUCAUUGGGUUUAAAGGGUCCGCAGGCGGUCUUAUAAGUCAGUGGUGAAAGCCUACAGCUCAACUGUAGAACUGCCAUUGAUACUGUAAGACUUGAAUUCGGUCGAAGUGGGCGGAAUAUGACAUGUAGCGGUGAAAUGCUUAGAUAUGUCAUAGAACACCGAUAGCGAAGGCAGCUCACUAGGCCUGGAUUGACGCUCAGGGACGAAAGCUAGGGGAGCGAA
rnacentral:rRNA from 1 species